GCAGAGGCAACAGGGAUGAGCAGUCUGCCAGCACCUCUUCUGGAAGUUUGACCCUGUCUGAGGAGGAGUGUCGUGAUCUGAGACUGAGAUCUCUAGGCUGAAGGAGAAGCUGAGGUUCAGGAAGAGAACGUUGGAUGUUCCAGCUCUGCUACUGCCACUCUGGAGGAGAUGAACCCACACGAGCUGAAGACAUUCAGUG